AACGAACGCUGGCGGCAUGCCUAACACAUGCAAGUCGAACGAGACCUUCGGGUCUAGUGGCGCACGGGUGCGUAACGCGUGGGAACCUGCCCUUAGGUUCGGAAUAACUCCCCGAAAGGGGUGCUAAUACCGGAUAAUGUCUUCGGACCAAAGAUUUAUCGCCUUUGGAUGGGCCCGCGUUGGAUUAGCUAGUUGGUAGGGUAAAAGCCUACCAAGGCGACGAUCCAUAGCUGGUCUGAGAGGAUGAUCAGCCACACUGGGACUGAGACACGGCCCAGACUCCUACGGGAAGCAGCAGUGGGGAAUAUUGGACAAUGGGCGAAAGCCUGAUCCAGCAAUGCCGCGUGAGUGAUGAAGGCCUUAGGGUUGUAAAGCUCUUUUACCCGGGAUGAUAAUGACAGUACCGGGAGAAUAAGCUCCGGCUAACUCCGUG
rnacentral:rRNA from 1 species